rnacentral:rRNA from 1 species
GGAAGGGUUAGUAAUACAUGGGUAACUUACCUCUAACUUUGGAAUAACGGUUGGAAACGACCGCUAAUACCGAAUGUGGUGCAUCAAGUAUCUUGAUGUUAUUAAAGCGGGGGAUCGUAAGACCUCGUGGUUAGAGAGAGGCUCAUGGGAUAUCAGCUUGUUGGUGAGGUAAGAGCUCACCAAGGCUAAGACGUCUAGGCGGGUUGAGAGAUUGACCGCCAACACUGGGACUGAGACACUGCCCAGACUCCUACGGGAGGCUGCAGUCGAGAAUCUUUCGCAAUGGGGGAAACCCUGACGAAGCGACGCUGUGUGAGUGAUGAAGGCCCUCGGGUUGUAAAACUCUUUCGCAUGGGAACAAGAGAAGUAGGUUAAUAUCCUACCUAUUUGAGGGUACCAUGUAAAGAAGCACCGGCUAACUACGUGCCAGCAGCUGCGGUAAUACGUAGGGUGCAAGCAUUAAUCGGAAUUAUUGGGCGUAAAGGGGGCGCAGGCGGAAUAGUAAGUCAGACGUGAAAGCCCGGGGCUCAACCCCGGAACUGCAUUUGAAACUACUUUUCUAGAGGAUAGGCGGAGAAAACGGAACUCCACAUGUAGCGGUGAAAUGCGUAGAUAUGUGGAAGAACACCCGUGGCGAAAGCGGUUUUCUAGCUUAUUCCUGACGCUCAGGCCCGAAAGCUAGGGGAGCAAACAGGAUUAGAUACCCUGGUAGUC